AAGGGGGAGGACCCGGAAGGAUGGGGUGGGGGCGUAAAGAUGAAGGUUAAUCAAGGUCCUCAUGGACUGAACCUUGAGGCCCUUCUGCUGCAGUCACUUUUGCCCUAUCAGACUUUUAGAGUAACUUCCUCUCUUUAUUUCCUCUUUGGUGGGGUUAUCAGAAUUAUUUUGUGACUAUUGGUUUCCUUUGCGGUUUUUAGUGAAAUUCAGAAUCAUCUUCGACGGAUAGGAAAUAGUGCAAUCAUAUGUGUCAGUAUUCCGGUAUUCUAGGAACUUAAGGAAAUGCAUAUAAGGGUUUGAACAUUUUUUUCUUCAGCUCACUAAAUGAACGAAAGGUAGGCGUAGGCGUUAAAGAGACACAUAAUGUGGAACGAUGCUGUAUUUUCUUAGCUACUAAAACUUCAUUUGUCAUUGACUGUCUCAGGGCUUUAAAAUUUUAUGUAGGUCUAUAUUCAGCUUUUAUUAAAAUAGAAAAUUCCUUGA
rnacentral:lncRNA from 1 species